CAGUCGCCGCGGUAACACGUAGGGUGCGAGCGUUAAUCAGAAUUACUGGGCGUAAAGCGUGCGCAGGCGGUUUUGUAAGACAGGCGUGAAAUCCCCGGGCUCAACCUGGGAAUGGCGCUUGUGACUGCAAAGCUAGAGUGCGGCAGAGGGGGAUGGAAUUCCGCGUGUAGCAGUGAAAUGCGUAGAUAUGCGGAGGAACACCGAUGGCGAAGGCAAUCCCCUGGGCCUGCACUGACGCUCAUGCACGAAAGCGUGGGGAGCAAACAGGAUUAGAUACCCGCGUAGUCCCUGUCUCUUAUAC
rnacentral:rRNA from 1 species